rnacentral:RNase_P_RNA from 1 species
CCCCCCCCCGAGGUACCCCCGGCGGAUGCUCAUGGCCCCGCGGUGCUUUGAGACAGACUCACGGCCGGCGAUUGCUGAGUCCAAUGGGUGAGGUGGGGCAUCGUCCUACAACCCAAUUCAGACUACUCUCCCCCGGA